UUAAGUCAAAUGAUGAGUAAAGUAUACAUAUAUAUAUAUAUAUAUAUAUAUGUACAUUUAAUCAAUGGUAAAGUUGUAGAAUAUAAUCUUCAGAGUAUUACUCUAUGAUACAGUGUAUCAGAUACAGUGACGGUAGUACGAGAUCUCCUGGCAAAACAUACAUUUUUUAUAGAUCCAGCUAAGAAAGGAAACAUAGUUAUAACUUAUAGAUGUCCUCAGUAAUUAUGAAACUUUCAAUGAGGCAGGAAGUAGCAGUACCCAUUGUGGUAAUACAAAUAAAUAUAUUAGGUUACAAAGAAUCUUCAUAAUUAUAUAUAAUUUUCUCAUAUGUAAGUGUCAGCCAAUGGGACGUCGUAACUCCUCAAAAUCUAAAACAUGUUAAAAGUACUCCCCUCAGAACAAACAGUGAGUUUUGUAUGUUUAAAUUUAUUCUAUUCAGUAUUUGUAUAACAUAAUUUUACCUAUUAUAUUUUAGAAAAACAUUUUAAAAGCCGAUCUACCGAGGCAACAAAAAGAUAAAUUAGUUAAAUUACAAAUAAAAGCAUUGGAGCAGGAAAUUAGAAUAAAUUAUAUUUGAAAAAGAAACAUUAUCUUAAAAGAACGAAAGAUGAAAUUAAAAAUAGAACU